UGGGGAAUAUUGGGCAAUGGGGGAAAACCCUGACCCAGCAACGCCGCGUGAGGGAAGAAGGUCUUCGGAUUGUAAACCUCUUUUACCAGGGAAGAAGAAAGUGACGGUACCUGGAGAAAAAAGCCACGGCUAACUACGUGCCAGCAGCCGCGGUAAUACGUAGGUGGCAAGCGUUGUCCGGAUUUACUGGGUGUAAAGGGCGUGUAGGCGGGAAGACAGGUCAGAUGUGAAAUGUCGGGGCUCAACCCCGGAACUGCAUUUGAAACCGUUUUUCUUGAGUAUCGGAGAGGCAGGCGGAAUUCCUAGUGUAGCGGUGAAAUGCGUAGAUAUU
rnacentral:rRNA from 1 species